rnacentral:rRNA from 1 species
CCUACGGGAGGCAGCAGUGGGGAAUAUUGGACAAUGGGGGCAACCCUGAUCCAGCCAUGCCGCGUGUGUGAAGAAGGCCCUCGGGUUGUAAAGCACUUUCAGUGAGGAAGAACGCCUGGUGGUUAAUACCCAUCAGGAAGGACAUCACUCACAGAAGAAGCACCGGCUAACUCCGUGCCAGCAGCCGCGGUAAUACGGAGGGUGCGAGCGUUAAUCGGAAUUACUGGGCGUAAAGCGCGCGUAGGUGGCUUGAUAAGCCGGUUGUGAAAGCCCCGGGCUCAACCUGGGAACGGCAUCCGGAACUGUCUAGCUAGAGUGCAAGAGAGGAAUGUAGAAUUCCCGGUGUAGCGGUGAAAUGCGUAGAGAUCGGGAGGAAUACCAGUGGCGAAGGCGGCCUUCUGGACUGACACUGACACUGAGGUGCGAAAGCGUGGGUAGCAAACAGGAUUAGAUACCCCGGUAGUC